CAUGGAAAGCAGAAGAUCCCUCCACGAGCAGGUUGGCCCGUGACCCCUUUCAGGUUGCAAGUAAUCUACCACUUCCACCCCACCCCUCCCACCUGGGUCCAGUUGCUCCACCUGGCAAAGACAAAGGCAAAAGGCCAAAGGGGUCUGAUGGUGUUGCAGUGAUGAGCCCGAUCCAGAAGCGAGUGCCUUGGGAUCGCUUGCGCCCUUUCACCUGCAAGGCAAGCAUGUUUUUAGCUCCGAGACACCUCUGCUGCAUCCAGGACGAGGACGAGAUGUCUGGUAGGGUUUGUAGUGUGUGUGUAGCGAUAGUACUAGAGCCUGCCUGGCCGUCUUUCUCCGUGGCCUAUGUUCCCCUCUGUGAUGCUGCAACUACAUAUACGAUGCACCCGCAUCUCACUCCAAUCAAUUGCUCUUUCUCAUUCCCUUCACAUUCCGUUCAGCCCUCUCAAUACUUCGCCUCUUCUCUCCAUUCCUACCUCAUUCCACUUCGUUGUUGGGUACUUGCCCACUUCGAGCGUUGCACUGGUUAGAUUAUAUGCACCCACAAUAGGCAUUGCGUGAGUCAGGCUGUUACGCGUUCGUUGUUUCGAUAUUGCCCAUGUUAUCUAAAUCACAGUUUGGAAGAGCUGCGAGUUAAUAGCUGGGAAGUAGGGUGAUUGCCGUUUGUAUGGGCUCAAGCAGCCUUCAGAUGAAACUCGGGGUUGUUUUCAGGAUCUGAGUCUUUGUGCAGAUUCCCCAGCAGUAAGCAUAACCAAGUGUCAUGUGCAGCUCGACUAGCAAUGUUAUGACAGGUUUCGCAGCUUAGAGGCCGUGCGGAGUGGCUAACUGUCACCAAAUCGAGGUUGUCCUCGCAAACAGAGAGCUUUGACGCAUCGAGCUCACAUGAGUUAUGGUCUGGAGCUAUCCAACUGUUCAUAGCAUGAAUAUAACGGUUGUAAAGCUGAAUCAUGCCUCAAUCCUCAGCUCUAGCCCAACCUCAUCGAAAUUUAAGAGUAGUCAGAAAUGAAAGUAAGUCUGUUGCCACGCUCGACGUUUAUCUUCGAAGUAAGUGGUUCUUACACGUUCCCUUCCUCAAGUUUCUAAUGCCGUAUUCACCACUCGCGAGCCCUCUCGACAAGUCGACUGAUAGUCUAAGCAUGAUUACUCUAAUCAAAUACUGCAAUACGGUUUCCGUGUACAUCUCUAGAUUGUUGCAGAUGCAUCCGUACCUCUUUUUCUCCACCGUCUGGAUUUUACGUCCGUACUUGAGAGUCCAAGAUUUGAGUUCUUACGGCAGAUGCAGGCAAUCUUGGUGGAUUGCCUCAAAUGAGAUGCCGCACGUAACUGUCCUUGGCAUCUAUAAUUGAGUUUGUAUUUGUAUGUCAGUGACUGACGGGUUCUUGUCGUUGAAGUUUUUCAGUGGUCACUAGAUCUAGUUCUAUUCAUCUGCAUGUGGCUGUCUUGCCUCUCGUUGGCUGGUGUUGAGAAAGACUGAAGCAAACCAAGGGGGAACUUUGUGCAUCAUUUCGAAUAUGUUCUCUUUGACUGGUCAUCCGUGUUGGCUAUAUAUUUGGCAUUUGCAUGUAGUAGAACCUCUAACCUCCCAGUGCAGAAUGACUUGGACAACUUUCCAUCAUCGUGUCUUUCAGAUGUCUCCAUUGGGCACCAUGAAGUGUGUGUGCGCUCUUCAAGGAUACGUCAUUAUUUUUUGUCGAAGAUUUUUUGGAUGAAAUUACUCCAAGAUCAUAACAGGAGCUUUUUAACUUACGAAGAAUCUCAGCACCUGGCUGUCGAACUCAGGCAGAUCAGUGUGAUUUGUUGGAUCUAAGCUUACAGCAUGCGAACCAUACUGAUUCCUCAUAAACCCUAAACCUUUCUGGGCUAUCCUCUGUCUAAUUUCUGCGUACACAUCCUGUUUGUCUGUGGUUGUCGUGAUAUAACUCCACCUUAACUUCUGAAGGAAAAACUGAGUUUAUGUUCGCAAUGUUAUCAAGUCUGUCACAAUAGCAACUGUCUCAUAUUGUUUCGAAGUGUGGCAAACGUACAUUGUAUCAUGGUAUGUUGCAUGUUUGAAAAUUUGCCCUCUCAGUUGGUCUCUACUUCUAACUUGUUCGUAUGUGGCGUCUAACAUCGAUUGUUUGAGUUCGUCAAGAUGUAAGUUGGUUUCUGUACAUUGUGAUGUUCAAUCAUCUUCAACCAAGCUUCGGGGUUCGCCAGAAGCUUGUUCCUCAGCAAGUUACAUGUAGAUUCUAAUGUAGACUUCUACUAACUGAUUCCUUAUGUUCCAUUCGUCCCUUCUAAUUCCGGAGGUGCUGGUGAUCACUUAAUCGACGAACUCCAUGUUUAAUUGUCUCGGUGAUCUGAAUUACUCUCCACCUUCAUGUUUUAGCGACAGAAAAACUGCGCGUCUUUCUACAGGAUGUCACAUUGUGGAAGACGUUAACAAAACGACGAUAAUUGUUUCGCAUUUUGGCAACGGGCGAGGAAUGGCAUUGCAUAGUAUUUGCACUGCUGUCACGAGUUUGCUUUGAAUGUUGUCGUGAGAUGACCUGCAUGAGAAUUUUGAUACAAUAUUUCAAUAAGUACGAAGAAGCUUCUUGGUCGAAUGCGCUUUUCAAAGCCAACUAGUAGUGUGUACUCGAUUACACUUCUAGCUUGAGGACAGCAGUGCAACAGUUUGGGCUGCAUCGGAGUACUGAACGUACAUAGCUCUCUGUAGGCAGUCUAUCACUACAAAAGUGUGAUCGCCUGCAACUGCUGUUGAUAGACAUCUGAUCGUUAGAUACAGCUACAUCCGAUAUUUCCUAGACACAAUAAUGGGAAAGUACUUAUCAGGUUUCAACCAGUUUUUAGCAUUGCCGGAUUGCUCCGCUGGACGGUAAAUUCGAGGGUAGCAGGAGGGUAUCCGGGUUUAUAUUCAGAGAAUUGAGCCUGGACCAGAACAUUGUAAGCCUACGACUAAGUUUCAAUGUUUUCACACAAGAUAACUAAUAUUUUAGGUUGCAUUUCCGCAACCCAUGUUUUAUAAAAGUCAAGUCAAUCCUCGCAUAAUCACUAAU